UACGUAGGGACCAAGCGUUGUUCGGAUUUACUGGGCGUAAAGGGCGCGUAGGCGGCGUGACAAGUCAAUUGUGAAAUCUCCGGGCUUAACUCGGAACGGUCAAUUGAUACUGUUGUGCUAGAGUACAGAAGGGGCCAGCGGAAUUCUUGGUGUAGCGGUGAAAUGCGUAGAUAUCAAGAAGAACACCUGAGGUGAAGGCGGGUUGCUGGGCUGAUACUGACGCUGAGGCGCGAAAGCUAGGGUAGCAAACGGG
rnacentral:rRNA from 1 species